rnacentral:rRNA from 1 species
UGCCAGCCGCCGCGGUAAUACGGAGGGUGCAAGCGUUAUCCGGAUUUAUUGGGUUUAAAGGGUGCGUAGGCGGAUUAAUAAGUCAGUGGUGAAAUCCUGCAGCUUAACUGUAGAACUGCCAUUGAUACUGUUGGUCUUGAGUAUAGUUGAGGUAGGCGGAAUGUGUAAUGUAGCGGUGAAAUGCUUAGAUAUUACACAGAACACCGAUUGCGUAGGCAGCUUACUAAGCUAUAACUGACGCUGAUGCACGAAAGCGUGGGGAGCGAACAGGAUUAGAUA